ensembl:lncRNA
UACCAGAAUUUAUUUUUCUUUUUAAAUUUUAUUUCAGAUUAAAGUGCAUUUCUUUAAAAAUGUUUCAAUAUCCAGUUUCGAUUGGCAAGUGAUAACAGUCAACUCUCAAUAGAUCAUGAAAGCUUUACUGUGGAUCAGACACAGAUUCUCUCUCCUUCAACCAGUCAUAAUGAACCUGAAAAUACAACUUUAGGUGUACCUGCUUCAAACAUUGUAUAAACAUUAAACAAAACUGACUGUACCCUUAUUUCCCAUCUACUAGUAUAGGUAAUCAAGGAAUGAACACAUACUUCUGUGAAGUUUCAACUUAAAUCAUUCGACUUAUCAAAUAUAAAUACUUUCUGAAUGUAAAACUAAGCUCUCAGAAUUUAUCAAAUGAUGAAAACAAGAAUAUUAUAGGGCUAAUAAACGGCUGAUUUGGCUUCUCUCAGCCCUCUUCUAAGUGCAUAUCAGUCAAGCCUAUCCACAAGAGGUAGUGUUAAGAUUGAGGGUAACUGAUUACUCACCAACAGAGAGCAAACUCCCAACCCCCUCCCCAUUUGUUUUACAGGUGUGAGUUAACCAAUUAGUGCCAGAUGCCUUUCCUUCACAUAUCAUGUCCCUUAAUAUCCAUGGCAAAUACAUAAUAAUGUUUUAAGAAUUUAAGGAGAAAAAGGUAUACCUAAAAAAUACUAGUUAAGCAACAGUAAGACAUAGAUGAAAUCAGGGGAACUCAUUUUAUAAAAUAAAAUCUAAAUAAUGGAUAUAGAAAUUAAAAAACCCUAUUCUGCCAGCCAGCAGUAACCAAACUGACAACAUGCCAUAUAUGAACAAAACAACUGCAUAUGUCAAGGACUGGCACAAUUUAAGGGCCAGCAAGUAGUAAAUGUGUAAUUAUGUUCAUUAUCACAGGCCACCCAGUCUUCAGACUACUCCAUUCUGCCACAAUAGCAGGAAAGCAGCCAAGCAUGUAAAUAAGCAAGGCUGUGUCCCAGAAAAAGCUGGUUUAUCAACAAAACAAUUUUAUGCAUUGUCAAAAAAUAUUUUCUUUUCAACCACUAGAAAACAUAAAAUUCAUUCUUAGUUCCUUAAAUGUAAAAAACAGUGUCAGGCUACAGUUUGUCAAUCCCUCCCUGCUCUUUAAAAACUUAUUAAAGACUGCUGUCUUUUGUUUCCUAUUAUCAAAAUCAACUAUUAAUUCCAUUAUUUCUAGAAAAUUUCCAUUCCAUAAAAAUAAAAAAUUCUUCAGACACCUAUUAUUCAAUUAAGUAUCAAAACAGCUAUUAUUCUACAUUCCAUUUUCAGUUUCAUAACACUAUUUUGAAAGUGAGCUUUCUACUUGUAUGCAGUUCAUCCAUUUAAGAAGUCAGUCUUUUGUUGAAAUUAUUUACUGAUGGGAGGUAGAGUAUAAAAUAAUAUAUUUCUAAAUAAUUACCCAAGGGAUUAGUAAACUAUUAUGAUACUAUAUUAUA